AACAUGCUAUGUAUUUCAUGCUGUCAAUAUGAGAUGCAAAUUAAUGUUGUGUGUUGUGUGUUAAUGUUGUGUGCAGCUGAGAAGAUAUCCUUAUUGCUGGAUGGUUGCUCUCUGGUCGUACUUGAGCCCCCUGGACCAUGUCUGCAAAUGCUUCUGAACAUUGACAGAAUUUCUAAAGGAUCGCUGAGGACUCCCCCUCCAUGCGUGACAUCUUUGAGAAAUUUUCACGCUUUCUGGAGAUGCCAAGUUUGACUGGAACCAACUUUGCAUCCCUCGGCACUGACACUGAGAAGGUUUCAAGGACCCCACUACUAGGAGGCGAGAGUUUGACACGGCAGUGUCAUCACUGCCAUGGAUGAUAACGUAACCAUUCCUGUUGCUGAUUGCCUGACUUGCGCAGUGACAAGCUUUUCA